AGUGAACGCUGGCGGCGUGCUUAACACAUGCAAGUCGAACGAGAACGGAAUAUAGCUUGCUAUAUUUGUCAGCUAAGUGGCGCACGGGUGAGUAAUGUAUAGAUAACCUGCCCUUAAGAAAGGAAUAACAGUUGGAAACGACUGCUAAUGCCCUAUAUGCCUUUAAUACAUAAGUAUGCAAGGGAAACGCUUUAGUGCUUAAGGAUGGGUCUGUAUGGUAUCAGCUUGUUGGUGAGGUAAUGGCUCACCAAGGCUAUGACGCCUAACUGGUUUGAGAGGAUGAUCAGUCACACUGGAACUGAGACACGGUCCAGACUCCGACGGGAGGCAGCAGUGGGGAAUAUUGCACAAUGGACGAAAGUCUGAUGCAGCAACGCCGCGUGGAGGAUGACACAUUUCGGUGCGUAAACUCCUUUUACAUAGGAAGAUAAUGACGGUACUAUAUGAAUAAGCACCGGCUAACUCCGUGCCAGCCGCCGCGGUAA
rnacentral:rRNA from 1 species